rnacentral:rRNA from 1 species
CCUACGGGACGCAGCAGUGAGGAAUAUUGGUCAAUGGCCGCAGGGCUGAACCAGCCAAGUCGCGUGAGGGAUGACGGUCCUAUGGAUCGUAAACCUCUUUUGUCAGGGAGCAAAGGGCGCCACGUGUGGCGCUUUGCGAGUACCUGAAGAAAAAGCAUCGGCUAACUCCGUGCCCGCAGCCGCGGUAAUACGGAGGAUGCGAGCGUUAUCCGGGAUUUUUUGGUUUAAAGGGU